UUAACAUGUUGGAGUGUAAUUCGUGUUUAUAUGGUGUUUAAUGUGAGGGAAUAAGGGAGUUGUUUUACGUUAUCUGUGGGUAAUGCUAGUAACGUUUGUGCGCUAGCUAAGCGAUGUUAGCCUCCUGCAUUAAUCUCUGUAACCGUGUUGUUACAUCAGUAAUGUGAAAGGAAACUGUUAGCUGGUUUCAGUUAAAGUUAUAGGAAAUAGACCAGCCAGUACAUGUUAUGUUGUCUGUUGUUUACUGGUCAUUUUCUCUGUGUGCUAAGGGCUGAUUAAUACAUGGCCAUUACACGUAACGUCACAAAGUAACGCAGGCCAGUUAUUACAAUGGAAGCCGCCAGUAACACUGAACUGUUUUACUGUGUUUCAGCACAAUAAAUCUUCAUGUGCACCUGAAUGAACCCUGUCGUCCUUCAGUGUGUAACACUAGGAACCACAAGUAAGCCUGCAGUCUGAGAGCGAUGUCCUCUGAUGGGAUUAUACGUGAAUCGAGGAUAAGCCAGUAGCCGUGGGACCUUUGUUGGUGGGCCGUUUUCUACACUUCUUUUGUCGUACAGCACCUUGAGUUUAUAGUUGGCUUUGUAUGUGUGAUUUUCUUCAGUCAUGGUCCUCAGCUACUGUUAUCCAUCCAUCCUCAUCCGCUUUAUCCGAAGUCGGGUCGCGGGGGCAGCAGCCUAA